UUUGAUCUCAGGUUGGGCGGAGCACCCGCCCAAUUUAAGCAUAUAACUAAGGGGAGGAAGAGAAACCAACGAGGAUUCCCUUGGUAGCGGCGAGCGAACCGGGAAUAGCCCAGACUAAAAAUCCGGGGGCUCUGUUGCUCCCUGAAUUGUUGACUUGAGAGGCAACCUCUGCAGCGGGCCGUGUGYAGGUUCCCUGGAAGGGGACGCCGAAGAGGGUGACAGCCCCGUCGACCGCCGGACCCUGCUGCGCAACGAGGUGUUGUCCAAGAGUCGGGUUGCUUGGGAAUGCAGCCCCAUUUGGGUGGUAAGUCCCAUCCAAGGCUAAAUAUGUGCGAGGGACCGAUAGCGAAGAAGUACCGCRAGGGAAGGAUGAAAAGAACUUUAAAAAGAGAGUUAAAGAGUGCUUGAAAUUGUCGAGCGAGAAGCAGAUGGAGGGGAAGUUGUGCGCUCCCGUCUAGGCAGGGGUGGACGGCAACUGUGUUGUCGCCCCCCUUGUUGGACGUGGGGUGCCUUCCAGCAUGAGCUGCUGUGACCGGCAUUGCGGUGGGGAGCGAUUGAAACCCCCCAUGGGCGGCCAUCACGGCAGUCGAGGACCUUGAGCACGCGCCUUUUUCGGCGGGCCCGUUCGGGUUCUUGCGUGUUCGGGAUGCUGGCGAAAUUCCUCUAUCCUGCUCAUCUUGAAACACAAACCGAGGAGUUCAAUGUGCAUGCGAUCCGGUGGGUGAUUAGCCCACAGGGCGGAAGAAACCUGAGUGGCGGGAACCCUCUGCGGGUGCACCGUCCGCCAACCACGAUCUGUUGUGAGAGGUUUGAGUGUGAGGAUGCCCGUUGGGACCCAAAAGAUGGUGAACUAUGCCUGAGCAGGGCGAGGCCAGAGGAAACUCUGGUGGAGGCUCGCAGCGAUACUGACGUGCAANCGUUGGGACCCAAAAGAUGGUGAACUAUGCCUGAGCAGGGCGAGGCCAGAGGAAACUCUGGUGGAGGCUCGCAGCGAUACUGACGUGCAAAUCGUUCGUCGGACUUGGGUAUAGGGGCGAAAGACUAAUCGAACCGUCUAGUAGUUGGUUCCCUCCGAAGUUUCCCUCAGGAUAGCUGGAGUUGUUGAACAGUUUUAUCGGGUAAAGCGAAUGACUGGAGGCCUCGGGGGCGACCUAUUCUCAAACUUUAAAUUCGGGGUUGCUUAAGCGAACCCCGAGGAUCAAUGAAAGCCCCAAGUGGGCCAUUUUUGGUAAGCAGAACUCGUGAUGCCGGAUGAACCGAAAGUCGAGCUACGGUGCCAAAGUGCACGCUAACCCAGACACCACAAAGGGUGUUGAUUGAUACAGACAGCAGGACGGUGGUCAUGGAAGUCGAAAUCCGCUAAGGAGUGUGUAACAACUCACCUGCCGAAUCAAUCAGCCCCGAAAAUGGAUGGCGCUGAAGCGCGCGACCUAUGCUCGGCCGUCGCGGCGAUUCUGACGCCGCGACGAGUAGGAGGGCAUGGGGCCUGCUGCAAAGCCUGGAGCGUGAGCCUAGGUGAAGCCGGUCCCGGUGCAGAUCUUGGUGGUAGUAGCAAAUAUUCAAAUGAGAACUUUGAAGACCGAAGUGGAGAAGGGUUCCAUGUGAACAGCGCUUGGACAUGGGUCAGUCGGCCCUAAGUGAUGUGAAAACCUUGUAUCAAGGGCGCACUGCGCGCCGCACAUCGAAAGGGGGUCGGGUUAAUAUUCCCGAACCGGRUUGUGGAGGUGGACGGUAACAUAAGCAGCUUUGGAGAUGCCGGAAGGGGCCGUGGGGAGGGUUCUCUUUCCUUCUUGACGGCUCGCCCACCCUAGAAUCGGAUCAACUGGAGAUAGGGUGCAGCGCCCGACAAAGCACCGCGCGUCAUGUGGUGUCCAGCGCGCCCCCGACGGCCCUUGAAAAUCUGGAGCUGCGGGUACCUCUCACGCCCGGACGUACUCAUAACCGCAUCAGGUCUCCUAGGUGAGUAGCCUCUGGUAAAAGGAAGAACGUAGGUAAGGGAAGUCGGCAAUAUGGAUCCGUAACCUUGGGAAAAGGAUUGGCUCUGAGGGCUGGGCCUAGGGGUCUGCGCCUCGAUGUCGUUGGCUGCCGGUGGUCUGCCCGAGCUGCUCUCGCGGCGAGGGCGGAGCCCUCGUGCCAGUGUGCCGACGGGCGUAGAAUGUCUUAUGUCCCCACCUUUCGGGUGGGGCCGAAGGACUCUCACUAAGCAUCAAACUGCCGACUCAGAACUGGUGUGGACAAGGGGAAUCCGACUGUUGAAUUAAAACAAAGCAUUGCAAUGGUCCCAACGGAUGUUGACGCAAUGUGGUUUCUGCCCAGUGCUCUGAAUGUCAAAGUGAAGAGAUUCAACCAAGCGCGGGUAAACGGCGGGAGUAACUAUGACUCUCUUAAGGUAGCCAAAUGCCUCGUCAUCUAAUNUCAAAGUGAAGAGAUUCAACCAAGCGCGGGUAAACGGCGGGAGUAACUAUGACUCUCUUAAGGUAGCCAAAUGCCUCGUCAUCUAAUUAGUGACGYGCAUGAAUGGAUUAACGAGAUUCCCACUGUCCCUAUCUACCAUCCUGUGAAACCAUAGCCAAGGAAACGGGCUUGGAAGAAUCGGCGGGGDAAGAAGACCCUGUUGAGCUUGAGUCUAGUUCGACUCUGUGAAAUGACUUGAGAGGUGUAGAAUAAGUGGGAGCCUUACGUCGCAAGUGAAAUACCACUACUUUUAACGUUAUUUUACGUAUUUCAUGAGGUGGAGCCAGGUCUCUGCCCCUGCUUUUCGAUCCAAGGUGCAGGCCCUCGUGGCCUGUCCGAUCCAAGCGAAAGACAUUGUCAGGUGGGGAGUUUGGCUGGGGUGGUGCAUCAGUUAGAAGAUAACGUAGGUGUCCUAAGAUGAGCUCAACGAGAACAGAAAUCUCGUGUGGAGCAAAAGGGCAAAASCUCAUUUGAUUUUGAUUUCCAGUACGAAUACAAAUUGUGAGAGCAUGACCUAUCGAUCCUUUAGUGUUUCAGGACUUGAAGCUAGAGGUGUUCGAAAAGUUACCACAGGGAUAACUGGCUUAUGGCAGCCAAGCGUUCAUAGCGACGUUGCUUUUUCAUCCUUCGAUGUCAGCUCUUCCUAUCAUUGUGAAGCAGAAUUCACCAAGUGUUGGAUUGUUCACCCACCAACAGGGAACGUGAGCUUGGUUUAGACCGUCGUGAGACAAGUUAGUUUUACCCUACAGAUGCACCGCCGUCGCAAUGGUAAUCCAACCCAGUACCAGAGGAACCGUUGGUUCGCACAGUUAGAAAUUGUGCUUGGCUGAAAAGCAAACGGUGCAAAGCUACCGUGCGUGGGAUUAUGACUGAACGCCUCUAAGUCAGAAUCUGUGCUUGCAGCGACGGCGUAUGCCUCCUCGGAUGACACAAGGCUGUCGAUAGGGCCAGCCSGUCUGGCCCCGAAAGCAUAAGUUCGGACUUGUCCCUCCUGCGGCGGAGCACC
rnacentral:rRNA from 1 species